rnacentral:rRNA from 1 species
GAAUAUUGGACAAUGGGCGAAAGCCUGAUCCAGCAACGCCGCGUGAGGGAUGACGGCCUUCGGGUUGUAAACCUCUUUCAGCAGGGACGAAGCGAAAGUGACGGUACCUGCAGAAGAAGGACCGGCCAACUACGUGCCAGCAUCCGCGGUAAUACGUAGGGUCCGAGCGUUGUCCGGAAUUAUUGGGCGUAAAGGGCUCGUAGGCGGUUUGUCGCGUCGGGAGUGAAAACUCAGGGCUCAACCCUGAGCGUGCGUACGAUACGGGCAAACUAGAGGUAUGCAGGGGAGAACGGAAUUCCUGGUGUAGCGGUGGAAUGCGCAGAUAUCAGGAGGAACACCGGUGGCGAAGGCGGUUCUCUGGGCAUUACCUGACGCUGAGGAGCGAAAGCAUGGGGAGCGAACAGG